AAUGCAGACACAUUGAACAUCGAUAUCUUGAACGCACAUGGCGGCCUCGGGUCCAUCCCGGGGCCACGUCCGUCUGAGGGUCGGCGACUAAAUCAAUCGAGCUCGUCUGUUUUUCCACGACACUCGUCGGGCUGGAAAGCGGGCUCGCCCUGAACCGUCGAGGGUUUCCUCGCUCCACUCGGGCGGGGGGGAUCCCCGUGGUUUCAAGUCCAAGCUGCGCCGUCGUCCCAUGUCCUCGAUGCUGCUUGCGCGGUUUCACCGCCUGGCAGGACUCGGCUCGUGUAAAAAGCGAGCUUCGGGCCUGUUUCACGGCACUGCUCUCGGGUGAAGCGGCAUAGCGGCGUCGUCAGCGACCGUGGUUCGGUGCCACUUUAAAAAUUAAACUUUUCUCCGACCUCAGAUCGGGCGAGAUUACCCGCUGAAUUUAAGCAUAUAACUAAGCGGAGGAAAAGAAACUAACAAGGAUUCCCACAGUAACGGC
rnacentral:rRNA from 1 species